GAUAAACGCUGGCGGCGCACAUAAGACAUGCAAGUUGAACGGACUUAAUCGAAAUAUUUAUAUUUUGAAGCGGUUAGUGGCGGACUGGUGAGUAACGCGUAAGGAACCUGCCUAUUAGAGGGGAAUAACAGUGAGAAAUCAUUGCUAAUACCGCAUAUGCCAUAGAUAUCACAUGAUAACAGUGGGAAAGGAGCAAUCCGCUAAUAGAUGGCCUUGCGUCUGAUUAGAUAGUUGGUGGGGUAACGGCCUACCAAGUCGACGAUCAGUAGCCGGACUGAGAGGUUGAACGGCCACCUUGGGACUGAGAUACCGCCCAGGCUCCUUCGGGAGGCAGCAGUUGGGGAUAUUGCGCAAUGGAGGAAACUCUGACGCAGUGACGCCGCGUAUAGGAAGAAGGUUUUCGGAUUGUAAACUAUUGUCGUUAGGGAAGAGAAAGGACAGUACCUAAGGAGGAAGCUCCGGCUAACUACGUG
rnacentral:rRNA from 1 species